rnacentral:rRNA from 1 species
GACGAACGCUGGCGGCGUGCCUAAUACAUGCAAGUAGAACGCUGAAGAGAGGAGCUUGCUCUUCUUGGAAGAGUUGCGAACGGGUGAGUAACGCGUAGGUAACCUGCCUUGUAGCGGGGGAUAACUAUUGGAAACGAUAGCUAAUACCGCAUAACAAUGGGUGACCCAUGUCAUUCAUUUGAAAGGGGCAACUGUUCCACUACAAGAUGGACCUGCGUUGUAUUAGCUAGUAGGUGAGGUAACGGCUCACCUAGGCGACGAUACAUAGCCGACCUGAGAGGGUGAUCGGCCACACUGGGACUGAGACACGGCCCAGACUCCUACGGGAGGCAGCAGUAGGGAAUCUUCGGCAAUGGGGGCAACCCUGACCGAGCAACGCCGCGUGAGUGAAGAAGGUUUUC